GUGCUGGAGAAAGUCACUCCAGAACUAAAAUGGGUUUCUUCACCUUCCAGUAGCUUCCUAUGAGGACAUCAAUAAAGACUGGUUUCUGCCACCAAGUGAACAUGACCUUGCAUAAACCUCUCUUGCAAAAUCCUCUUUAUGAAGAGACCGUUCUUAGUGGCAUUAACCUCGGCCACCUCUCUGCGAUUAGUUCAGCACCAUGGACAGAACUCCCGGCUUGUUGACAGGGCAGUUCAAGCAGACUCAUCCACGACCUGUGCUGUAAUUCAUGCUUAAGUAUUUUUAACAUCUUUACAGUUCUGCUAUAAUUAUCAGACUUACAUUUUUCAUGAGCUACAAUAGCAUGAUUACAUUAAAUAUUUAGAUAUUUUAGCUCAUCUCUGUCACAUGACUAGAUCAUUUGAAUCAACUAAUAAAGUAAGAAAAGGUUAUUAAUUAUUAUCUUUAAUUAGUUAUGAUUAUAAUUAUACAGUCACAGCAUCUAAAGCAUGCUCUUUCCCUAAUGCAUUUAUAUAAAUUAACAUAAAAUCUUAACAUUGUGUUAAAACCAAUGUAAAACAAUUAAAUGAUUAAUAGACAUGUUUUGUAUUUGUAUUUUGCUAAUAAUAAUGAUGAUGGUUAUUAUUACUGAAUUAAAUGUUCUCUUUUUAUUAAUCAAUGGUUAAAAAGAAAAGUGAAAUAAAAAGUAACAUCUGUAUUAUUAAAAAUA